UAAGACGUAGGGCGCGAGCGUUGUCCGGAUUUAUUGGGCGUAAAGAGCUCGUAGGCGGCUCGUUGCGUCAAUCGUGAAAACCCGGGGCUUAACUUCGGGCUUGCGGUUGAUACGGGCGGGCUGGAGUUCGGUAGGGGAGACUGGAAUUCCUGGUGUAGCGGUGAAAUGCGCAGAUAUCAGGAGGAACACCGGUGGCGAAGGCGGGUCUCUGGGCCGAUACUGACGCUGAGGAGCGAAAGCGUGGGGAGCGAACAGGAUUAGAUACCCUGGUAGUCCACGCUGUAAACGUUGGGCGCUAGGUGUGGGGGGCCUCUCCGGUUUCCUGUGCCGUAGCUAACGCAUUAAGCGCCCCGCCUGGGGAGUACGGCCGCAAGGCUA
rnacentral:rRNA from 1 species